GAUGAACGCUGGCGGCGUGCCUAAUACAUGCAAGUCGAGCGAACGGACGAGAAGCUUGCUUCUCUGAUGUUAGCGGCGGACGGGUGAGUAACACGUGGAUAACCUACCUAUAAGACUGGGAUAACUUCGGGAAACCGGAGCUAAUACCGGAUAAUAUUUUGAACCGCAUGGUUCAAAAGUGAAAGACGGUCUUGCUGUCACUUAUAUAUGGAUCCGCGCUGCAUUAGCUAGUUGGUAAGGUAACGGCUUACCAAGGCAACGAUGCAUAGCCGACCUGAGAGGCUGAUCGGCCGCACGAGAACGGAGACAGGGUCCAGACUCCUGCGAGACGCAGCAGACGGCAACCUGACGCAAUGGGCGAAAGCCUGACGGAGCAAGCCCGAGUGAGUUAUGAAGGUCUUCGGAGCGUAAAACUCUGUUACUAGUGAAGAACAUAUGUGUAAGUAACUGUGCACAUCGUGACGGUACCUAAUCAGAAAGCCACGGCUAACUACGUG
rnacentral:rRNA from 1 species